GUCUACAGCCAUACCUUCAGUAUGCCCAAUCUCAUCUGAUCUCAGAAGAUAAGCAGGGUUGGGCCUAAUUAGUACUUGGAUGGAAGAAAGAUCUUCAGAGGACA
rnacentral:rRNA from 1 species